GAGAGAUGUAGAGGAACCUGGACAUCUGUACCAGGACAGAGAGAGGAAGAGGAUCCUGGACAUCUGUAUCAGGGCAGAGAGAGGUAGAGGGACCUGGACAUCUGUAUGAGACAGAGAGAGGUAGAGGAACCUGGAAAUCUGUAUCAGACAGAGAGAGGAAGAGGAACCUGGACAUCUGUAUCAGGACAGAGAGAGGUAGAGGAACCUGGACAUCUGUACCAGGACAGAGAGAGGUAGAGGAACCUGGAAAUCUGUAUCAGACAGAGAAAGGAAGAGGAACCUGGACAUCUGUACCAGGACAGAGAGAGGAAGAGGAACCUGGACAUCUGUAUCAGACAGAGAGAGGAAGAGGACCCUGGACAUCUGUAUCAGACAGAGAGAGGAAGAGGAACCUGGACAUCUGUACCAGGACAGAGAGAGGAAGAGGACCCUGGACAUCUGUAUCAGACAGAGAGAGGUAGAGGAACCUGGGCAUCUGUAUCUGGACAGAGAAAGGUAGAGGAACCUGGAAAUCUGUAUCAGACAGAGAGAGGAAGAGGAACCUGGACAUCUGUAUCAGGACAGAGAGAGGUAGAGGAACCUGGACAUCUGUACCAGGACAGAGAGAGGAAGAGGAACCUGAACAUAUGUAUCAGUACAGAGAGAGGUAGAGGUACCUGAACAUCUGUAUCAGGGCAGAGAGAGGUAGAGGAACCUGGACAUCUGUAUGAGACAGAGAGAGGAAGAGGAACCUGGACAUCUGUAUCAGACAGAGAGAGGUAGAGGAACCUGGGCAUCUGUAUCUGGACAGAGAAAGGUAGAGGAACCUGGAAAUCUGUAUCUGGACAGAGAGAGGUAGAGGUACCUGGAAAUCUGUAUCAGACAGAGAGAGGUAGAGGAACCUGGACAUCUGUAUCAGACAGAGAGAGUAAGAGGAACAUGGACAUCUGUACCAGGACAGAGAGAGGAAGACAAACCUGGAAAUCUGUAUCAGGACAGAGAGAGGUAGAGGAACCUGGACAUCUGUAUCUGGACAGAGAGAGGUAGACAAACCUGGAAAUCUGUAUCAGACAGAGAGAGGAAGAGGAACCUGGACAUCUGUACCAGGACAGAGAGAGGAAGAGGAACCUGGACAUCUGCAUCAGACAGAGAGAGGAAGAGGAACCUGGACAUCUGCAUGAGACAGAGA
rnacentral:lncRNA from 1 species